AUUGAACGCUGGCGGCAGGCCUAACACAUGCAAGUCGAGCGGAUGAAGGGAGCUUGCUCCUGGAUUCAGCGGCGGACGGGUGAGUAAUGCCUAGGAAUCUGCCUGGUAGUGGGGGAUAACGUCCGGAAACGGGCGCUAAUACCGCAUACGUCCUGAGGGAGAAAGUGGGGGAUCUUCGGACCUCACGCUAUCAGAUGAGCCUAGGUCGGAUUAGCUAGUUGGUGGGGUAAAGGCCUACCAAGGCGACGAUCCGUAACUGGUCUGAGAGGAUGAUCAGUCAAACUGGAACUGAGACACGGUCCAGACUCCUACGGGAGGCAGCAGUGGGGAAUAUUGGACAAUGGGCGAAAGCCUGAUCCAGCCAUGCCGCGUGUGUGAAGAAGGUCUUCGGAUUGUAAAGCACUUUUAGUUGGGAGGAAGGGCAGUAAGUUAAUACCUUGCUGUUUUGACGUUACCAACAGAAUAAGCACCGGCUAACUUCGUG
rnacentral:rRNA from 1 species